GAUGAGGGCUCAGUGGUAGAGCACUUGCCUAGCAUGUGUGAGGCCCUGGGUUCAAUCCUCAGCACCA
rnacentral:tRNA from 1 species